rnacentral:piRNA from 1 species
UGUGUUUCGUUUUAGCUGAGGUUGGCAGA